rnacentral:rRNA from 1 species
UACGUAGGAUGCAAGCGUUAUCCGGAAUGAUUGGGCGUAAAGCGUCCGCAGGUGGCUGUGUAAGUCUGCUGUUAAAGAGUGAGGCUCAACCUCAUAAAGGCAGUGGAAACUACAUGGCUAGAGUGCGUUCGGGGCAGAGGGAAUUCCUGGUGUAGCGGUGAAAUGCGUAGAGAUCAGGAAGAACACCGGUGGCGAAAGCGCUCUGCUAGGCCGCAACUGACACUGAGGGACGAAAGCUAGGGGAGCGAAUGGG